CGUCUGCAACCUACACCACAGCUCACAGCAACACCAGAUCGUUAACCCACUGAGCAAGGGCAGGGACCGAACCUGCAACCUCAUGGUUCCUAGUCAGAUUCAUUAACCACUGCGCCACGACAGGAGCUCCAAGAUGCCUGUUCUGACACACGUUGUAAUACUUUACCUGAGUAUUCAGGGUGAAUUGAAGCAGGGUAUAUUAACCAUUCCUGAGAUGGAAUUUUCUUUUCUUCAAAAGAGUAAGAUGUUCAUAUUCAUGUUCCAAUUUAAUUCUAUUUCUUUUAACCUUAUUUUAAUGUGAGAACCAAUUUCCCCUCUUUUGUGCCUUUUGAUAUCUCAAGUUACACAUCACCAUAUCAAGCUAUACUGGUGCUUUCCCCCAAAUUUAGGAGUAGUUAUUCACUUACUAAUUCACUUAUUUCCCUAUGUAUUAUUUUAUAUCUGACUCAAGCAUCUCAGAGAAUGUCACAAAAUUUACAGAUAUAGGUGAUCUUUUUCCCCAUAUGAUUGUUUAAAUUCUAAUUGCUUUACAAUAAAUAAUAAAUCUCCACUUCCCUCCAAGCUUAAAAAAAAAUCAGCCACAAACAGAAGCCCCUUAAAUUACCACAGAAAUUCCACAGGGUUAGGAUGAAAUAAUGGAUAAAAUGAAACAGUCAAAUACAAGAACCAUGAAAACGAUUCUUUAUUUCAUGGGCAUGAGGGAUAUUCUUUGACUUUCUAGCUAGUUUGCCUGAAUAUUUCACUCCACCAAAGUCAAUUGGGUAAAUGUAGAUAUUUAUUUUUUCUGUAUUAUGAAAGUCUCACAUUUUAAAAUCUAAUUAAGAAUGGCAUAAUAUAUACUCAAUAAUAAGAAGAAACUAUAAUAAGAAAAAAAUCAUCCAAAUCGUUUCAAACUUGACUGAAAAAUUUUAAGGGGAACAGUGGUCUCGGUAUUCCACAAGGUCCAACACAUAAAAGAGAGCAUGACACAAGGAUAUGACAUAUUUUGAUGAGGAAGCCAGUAUGCCUUGCUCUCUGCCUGAGUCGAUGUUAAAGCAGUGAUCAGCUACCCUCCCCGACUAGAGACACAGUAUUUGGAAGUAUUCCUCAUCUAGUCCUGCAUUUUAUCAUGUCUUUUGGAACUCAGAUUUCCCUUUCCUUCUGGAGCUUAUCAGCACAAUUUCUAUUUCUUCCGGUUGUGAUUCUGCUUUAACAAACUUUUGAAUGCCUUCUUUCAGCUUGGUUGUGUCUGGACGGUCUGUGCAGAGUUUAGCCUAAUGGCUUGAACACGUUGACUCUACCACCUGCUUUCCCUGCUUUCUCAAUGCCAAAAGACCUCAUACUACAUUAAAUAAUUUUGAUACUUUAGAAAUUAUAUAUGUUUUAUAUAUAUAUAUACACAUACAUAUAAUAUAUAAUUUACUUGAUAUUUUAAAAUUAUAUUUCCCUUGUCUUGGCUUGGGCCUCUUCAUUUAUCAAAUGGGAUCAACUGGAGGGUAUAUUCGAGCAGUUUUCAAAUUCUGCUGAUAGAGUGAUAAAAUUCCUUCAGAAACAACUCUCGGGUUCUCAGGUCUCCUCUGAACAUCUCACUCUUCCUUUUACUGACUUCCUGAAACCCUUCUGAACUGAAUAUGAUAAACAGAGUUACCACAGGACAACUGUGAGGGGGUAUCAGAAAGAAAAAAAAAGUGAACACUAAAUGAAUACUAAAGGGAGUGGCUUCCUUCAUAGUGCACUGCGGAGGCAAUCUGUGGUGUUGGAGUUAAAGAACACAUGAACAGAGAGAGAUUAAAACCCAGGCAUAGAUAGGAGGCCCGUAAAUUGAGUCAGAACUCACUGGAGGUAAGGGAGCUACACAGAGCAGGUCUGAUGCAGUUUAUCUGUGUGAAGCUUUAUUUUGAUCCUGUGAAGUUCCCCAUGACAGCCUCCUCCAAGUGUCCUGCCAAGAGUUAAGAAGGAAGCUAAAUUUUUGUUGACACCAUUGUCUUUCUUUCUUGUCUGUCUUUCUCUUCUCAAGCUUAUAUCACUAUUGUGAAGACUUGGAAUUGAUAAACUGGACACUUUUGUUGAGGGACUAGUGUAAGCCUGUGCAGGGAAAUAGGCUUUACGGGAAAGCUAAAGGUAAAGCUAUUGUUCAGGCCACCUGGCCUUGGCUCUGCUUUCUCCUCCAGAUGCCAAGUUUGAGUCAAGAACCAGCAAGUGCUUUUCUUAUCUUUGUCAUCGUUCCCUCAGCAUAUAACUCCUUUGACAACCUCACAGGAAGGAGGUAGGUCAGCAUCUUUGGCUGCAUUAACACAGUCUUCUUUCCUAUCUAUUAAUGUAUUAUUGUCUUAAAAUUGCAAGCAGCAUUAAAAUACAUACUGAAAGCUAAGUAUUCACAAUAGCCAUUUUAAAUAAUUUAGCUAAAUGUUUUUAUUAUUAAUAUUCUUUUGAUAUAAGUAAACUCUAAGAGGAAUACCAGGAUGAUCCUGAUGUAGCCUUCUUUUUUUUUUUUUUUUUUUUUUUGGAAACAUUAUGUCAGGAGUCUUAACCAUUCAGAAGUAGAACAAUCUAUUGCUAAAAAAAAUCUAAUUAUGAGAAGAAUGCUUUACCAUACAUAUAGCCAAAUCUGCCUUCCAUGUUUCCUAGCUUCUUAAUUUCCAUGUUUUUAAGCUUGACAUCCCAAUUCACAAGUAGUGUAUUUAUAUUAUAUAUAAGAGUACUUAAAAUAUUUCAGAAACUAUCUUCUGCUAAGUAUUUCUCUGGGUUAGGCAACCCCACAUGGGCAAGGUCACAUGAUAAGUAAGAUGUGGAAAUGAAAGCAGAAACAGCAGUUAUCUGAGUCCUGGCCCGGUGCUCUUUCCAUGAACCUUGGCUUCUCUGAAGGAACUUCCAGCAUCCUGUCUCUGUUUUAUCUCCGGCAUUUAUUAGUAUAGCAAAGAGGCCCAGGUUGUAAAAGAUUCUCUGAUAAUAGCCAUUACUUUUGGGACUAUGAUCCCUUCCAUUAUUGGGACUCUGAGAAAAAGAGAAGUGGUAAAGGAGCUGGUCCUUGAUGUGGUGGAACUUAGCUCUUGGUCACAAUAUUCAAGUUGUGACAAUUUUCUCACUUCAAACUCAGCCCCAGGGUAUAAAUUAAACCAUAAACUUAUUGAGGAAACAGUUAUUAAAUUAGUUGAACUAGAAUUAUAAAUGGCCACAAAUGACCCUUUAUUAUUUUUAUUCUAAAAACUUAAGAGUACAAUUUAGAAAAUGAUCAGCAGUCUCUAAUGAAGUAUGCUUUGGGUUGGCUGAACAGCUGGAAUUGGCUUGACACCUCUCUCUUAGCCCAAUAAGUAUGGAAGGGAAGGAUAUAGGUCAGAGUUCUGCCUCUCUGAGAGGAAGAUAAAAUAAAGGCACAAUAUAUUCAUCGGGAUACAUGUGGAGCUGCUAGAUAAAGUCCACAGAUCAGGGGCUUGAACAAGAUGGAAUUUUGUUUCUCUCUCAAUUAAGAGUCUGAGCAAUUUUAAAUAUGUGUUCUAAGGCUGAUAUACCCGGAUUCUGGGCAUUAACAUCUUGUCCUGAUUGAAGAUGACUGCUUCAGCUUAUGUCAACUUACCUUCAUUCUUUUCUGAAGAAACAGAGCAAGAAAAGGGAAGAGUAGACUUAGCACACAAAAAUUUGCUAAUUUCCCUUUAGGCAAACCUAGUCAUUUAGCCAAAGCUAGCUGAAAGAGCCCUUGUGGGAAAAGCAAAUAAACAAAAAUACAAAUAUUAGUUGGACUGACAUGUGCCCAAUUGAAAGUUCCAUUAUCAUAGAAGAAUGAGAGCUGGAUAUUGGGGUGAUCAUCACAGUGUCUUUCACAGCCUCUGAAAGUACCUGACAGAUUCAUCCCUGGCAAUCUGAAGUAACUGUUGGCUGUUAGGUAGCCUUGUCACCCAAAAAACCUUUCUAGUGGCUCUCAUUAGAUCAGUUUUAAUUCCAUUCUCAUUUUCUGUAUGAAUUAAUAACCAUAUCCUGAUUUACUAUUAUUUUGGUAUCCUUCCAGGUUAGCAUGGAUUUUCCACUCAGUUUGGUACACAAAUCAUAUUAUCACCUUAUCAGUGGCCUUCAUGCAACAUCCUGUCUUACAUGCCCAUGCUCCCGCUUCAGUUCCCUUUCUGUAGUCUAGGCUAGCCUUCUAUAGAAAGAAAUCCUGAGGCACAAACCCCAGCUCCUGCCAAAGAACUGUAACUUUUUUUGUCAAUAGGAAACUCCUUUUACAGGAACAGAAAUUAACAGAAGUUCCUGUACACAUUAGCAGGCAUCAUAUAACCCCAUCAUUAAUUUUUUCCCAAGUUACAAAAAUUGCCAAGUUUGGGGAAUAUAAAGCUUACAUUCAAUAGUUGAUUGUGUUUCUUCUUUCAAGCCACAUAGCUAGUAUAGUUCAUUUCUUUUUGUAGACGGCUACAUUCAUCUACAUUCAGUAUUAAACCCGUGAAUUGUCACCCAUUUGAUGUGAUAUUCUAUAAAUUAUACCUGACCAAAAUAUUCUAUAUGUCAUUUACCACUGGCACUGUGUUUCAUUUUAAGCUUGCCAUUAUGGCAGUACCACCAAAGACAGUCUUUGAACCACAAAAGGUAGUCUGCUAACUUCAUCAGCGAAAGGCUUUUCUCAUACAAUGUUGAGAAUCAUUGUUGAAGAAAAGCAAGGUAUAUAACUGGAAAGUUGAAAGGAAAAGUCUUAUCAAUCUUCCUCUCCCCUCAGCUCUAUCUAAAGGGGCCAAAGAAAAAAUUGCAAUGUUUAUUUUUUCCCUGGGGCUAUUAAAAACCCCAAGAUGGGGCCUUCAAGACAUUUCCAAGAUUUGAAAAAGGGAGAUAUUCUGCACAGAAAACAGAUGUUGAGUUAUAAACAUGAGAAAUAGACCUUUGAAGUCUGUCACAGGAGCAAAGACAACAUGGGGUAACUUACUACAAGGUUUUGAUGAAGGAACUAGGGUCUCAGAUUAAAGGAUACUAGACUAAACUGGAGUAAUGAAUGGUCUAUGAAUUGACAAGCAGAACAGGAAAGUCAGAUACUGGAUUCCAUAAUACAGUGGCUACUUCAUCCCACCUUUAGAAGAAUAUAUUGAAAGUUAUUUGGAAAGGAUUCUAAGUUGUUGACAAGACGUGAGAUUCUGACACACUGUAGAUGAUAAAAAUUUGGAUGGCCUAAUGCUUUUUCCAAAUGAUAGUGUCAAUCAGAAUCAAGCCAAGUCCAUCGCUAUAUCAUUUUAAUUUUACCCUUUGUCUAUCUCCUCCUGAUUUAGCACUCUGCUCUCUAACAAGCCACUGGUCAUGUCUUUGCCUAUUGACUUAAUAAUAAAGACCUGAUCUGUUGAAAGCAAUAAAUUGACAAAAGCCACGAGGAUGGUGGAAGACAUCCAUUCCCUUCACGUCAUGGUUCGGGAGUC
rnacentral:lncRNA from 1 species